rnacentral:rRNA from 1 species
GAUGAACGCUGGCGGCGUGCUUAACACAUGCAAGUCGAACGAGAAAUGUAGACGGAAACCUUCGGGCGGAAGCCUUCAUUUCGAGUGGCGGACGGGUGAGUAACGCGUGGGUAACCUGCCUCAUACAGGGGGAUAACAGUUGGAAACGACUGUUAAUACCGCAUAAGACCACAGCAUCGCAUGAUGCGGGGGUAAAAACUCCGGUGGUAUGAGAUGGACCCGCGUUCGAUUAGCCAGUUGGCGGGGUAACGGCCCACCAAAGCGACGAUCGAUAGCCGAUCUGAGAGGAUGACCGGCCACAUUGGGACUGAGACACGGCCCAAACUCCUACGGGAGGCAGCAGUGGGGAAUAUUGCACAAUGGGGGAAACCCUGAUGCAGCGACGCCGCGUGAGUGAAGAAGUACUUCGGUAUGUAAAGCUCUAUCAGCAGGGAAGAAAAGGACGGUACCUGAGUAAGAAGCCCCGGCUAACUACGU